UCUUCCGAUGUAAGGGUAGGGGAGACACCAUGAUCAAGAAGGUGGUUCACCCAGGGCGAGGCUCGGCCAUUGCACUCCGGCCGUGCUGACCCCUGCGAAUUCCC